ACUCAAAUGAAUUGACGGGGGCCCGCACAAGCGGCGGAGCAUGCGGAUUAAUUCGAUGCAACGCGAAGAACCUUACCAAGACUUGACAUAUUCGAGAACGCUGCAGAAAUGUAGAACUCUUUGGACACUCGUUUACAGGUGGUGCAUGGUUGUCGUCAGCUCGUGUCGUGAGAUGUUGGGUUAAGUCCCGCAACGAGCGCAACCCUCGUCGUAUGUUGCCAGCACGUAAUGGUGGGAACUCAUAUGAGACUGCCGGGGUCAACUCGGAGGAAGGUGGGGAUGAGGUCAAAUCAUCAUGCCCCUUAUGUCUUGGGCUUCACGCAUGCUACAAUGGCCGGUACAAAGGGCUGCGAUACCGCAAGGUGGAGCGAAUCCCAAAAAGCCGGUCUCAGUUCGGAUUGAGGUCUGCAACUCGACCCCAUGAAGUCGGAGUCGCUAGUAAUCGUGAAUCAGCAACGUCACGGUGAAUACGUUCCCGGGCCUUGUACACACCGCCCGU
rnacentral:rRNA from 1 species